UGCAGUAGAAGAUGGGGCUGAUGCUCCACACUCAAGGUGGUUUCUGGUACUUGCUGCCCCUCAAGGCAGGUCUCGGUAGGUGCCUGAUGUGCUGGAAUCAAUGGUGUCCUGGUCUAGUACUCCAUGAGUUGUGACCAGUCCUCCACAGUGGAGUGGAGGGCCCAGAUAGAUUAAAGAAGAUGCAGUAGCUCUGAGUGAGGAAGGGAAUGGUCCUUCAAACUCAUCAGAUGGCUGUGGUGCUCCUGCCACCAGCCCAGGGAGCAUCUCGGCCCCAGGACAGAGCAGCAGCCAAGGGGGAAAUUCACCAGGAACAACUGUCCUCACCUUCUUCCUUCUGACCCUUGAGAAUAAAUGUGACAUGGGACAUCACCUUAGACCAGGAAAAUAAAGCCUCUGAGUUAAUUUCUGCUUCUCCUGACAUCACUUCCAGGCUGCAACUAUAGAAUUUUAUAUUAGCUUUUGUACUGAAUUGCCAGCAGAAAUCCCAGGAGAUUCAGUCUCAAAAGUAUGCCUAAAGAGGGAAUAUGGUCUGGAUGUAAUUUAGCUUCCAUUGCCCAGCAAUUCCAUAGAUCUCUUUGACUUGUGGCAUUAAAUAUAUGGAGCAAACACAUGAAUGGAUUAACAUACACAGUCCUAUAAUUAGCUAUGUUAUUAAAUUUGCUAAGUAGUUGGGGGGAAAGGGGCUUGUUUGCCAUCUGUUUAAAAAGUAUCUCUCUUUCCACUGAAAUCUGGAUAUAAAAAACCCCAGACAUGUGGGCAUGACUGCCUUACAUACAUUACUGGGAUUAUUUCCCUUGAGUUAACCAAGACAAGCAUGAUUCAUAGACCAGUAGAAUGGUGUGCAAAAAUGUGCAUAGCAUUUUUUCACAUAAUGUUCCUUUUCCUUCCCAUUAUAAAUUAUGAAUCAUGUAAACAUCAUGAAUUACAGAGUUUUUUGUUGGUCUGGGGUUUUUCUUUUUUCCCCAUGACCCAAAAAACUACUUAAUAGAAAAGCAAUUAUAACAGGCAGUAUGGUAAAUUCUGCCAUGAAAAUUAUUUUUUAAUUCUACUCUUGUCACUAUGUAACCACACAAACUCAGACACACACAUACACACACACACACACAAACACACACACAUUUCCACUGACUCUGAAUACAGAGCAAGUUUGUAUCACGAGAAAGAAAAAUUGACACUGGUUACAAAAGAGAUGCAUAUUAAAUAUAUAAUAAUUAGCCUCAGCUAUGUAGAAAUUGUCUAAAAGUAUGAAAACAAGCUGAGCUCUAAAUAGCUUAGAGUAAGGCCCUGGUUCACAAACUCUUCAGUAGAGCUCUGUCACUUGAUCCAUAGACUCACAAAAGCUUGAACAGUAGGAGCACAAGAAAAAGACAGCAUAAAAGAAAAAAAAAAAAAAAA
rnacentral:lncRNA from 1 species